GGCUGCCUUUCAAAGUCCAUUUUCUUUUUUUUUUCCUAGGCUGAGUCUUCCUGUCUCACCCAUGCUUGAAGUAUCCCAUCAGGAAUAGGCAAAGGAAUCUUGUUCUACUCCAAUUUAGCCCCUCCUUAGAAAUCCUGGGGCCCUGCCCUUCAUCAAGGGGCUCUCUAUAGUGGCGCUAGGUACCCAAUCAAAUUUAGCCUGUAAUGGGAAAAGGAUGGAAAUAGGAUAAGAUUUAAGAGAAGUGGAAGACUCUUUUAGGAAGUCAAGGGAAAGGAUUUUAGCAGGCAGAAGGCAGAGGAGGAACAGUUUGGAAGUGACAACUGCUAGAGUAAUGACUUCCUGUAGGAGGUUGGGCUCUUCCUGUCCAGAAGGGUGGAGGAAAGGUGGUUCCUCGAGCUCAUCUACCUCAACCUGACUGUGGAGAAGGAGUAACUCCUAAAUCAUCUUUGGAGAUAUCGAUCUUGCUUUGUACCAUCAGUUCAGAGGCCACAGCUACAGCCUCAUUCAAGACCGUGACUAUAGGUGAUCAGCCUCCAAAGCACAGAAGAAAUAGGGGCUGAAGAAAGUGAUUUAUCCCGUUUUGUUGGCCUUUUAUUACAGAAACAGAUGUUGUGAGUUUUCCUGGCUGAAGAGAUCGAAGACAGAGCAGGACAGGUAACCAGUGAAGCUUUCCCCACUGAGCGCCAAGAGCUUAAAGCCACGACCAUCCCAGCAAUGAGUCAUUUUAUCAGAUGGGCCCAAAGAGCUAGAGUCAGUGAAGGAAUGAAUGAGGAUAUGAUGUGGCUGCUUGAAAAUUUCAAGAGAUUUCUCCUGGGCUUUGGACCCAGAUAUGGACAAAAAAGAGAAGAAUGAAGGUUUGUUUACUUACAUUAAAGAUCACUUAAAUUCAAA